UACAAUUUUGAGUAAUAAGAACAGAAAUCAAAAGUAACUGUUGUAUGUUAUAUUUUAGUAGAGGAACACUGAAGAAGAAUGAAAACAAGAAAUAAUAUUAAAUAUGAACAUAUGGAGAACAGAAUAAUAUUUCUAAAAUUUUUAGUUUCUAAGCUUAUCUGAAAUUUUAAUUUUGUUUUCUUAUGUAAUACCAGAGUUAUUAGGAAGGUAUUAUCUACUAACACUAUUUUCAGUGAUAUUUUAAGUAGUUGUCCUAGUUAAAUUUCUAUUUUUUAAAAAUGUAUAUUUAAAAAUACAUUAAAUGUGUAUAUACAUCAAUCAUAUGUAUCGAUUUCUGUUUUUCUUGAAUUGCAAAUGAAAUUUGUAUUUUUGUGUUCCUGGAAUAAAAUAAACUUGAAUGGAUUGUAAUAUUUUAUUCAUGCUGUAAUUCAAUGUAUUUGAAUUCUUUAAGAAUGUUACAUUUACAGUUAACAGAUACUGACCUAUAAAUUUUCUGUCAUAUAAUGAUGCUGUGAGACAAUCUAAGAAGAAUUAAAAUUUAAAUUCAUGUAUUCUUACUUUUUUCUCUGUUCUCUAACUGUAAUAUAUUUUAAUUACAGAUGGAGGAACAGACAGAUGUUAGAUAAAUAGAUAUAUAAUAUAUAGAUCAUCCAAAAUUCUUAUUCUUAUGGUUUUAUGUAGUCAGUAUUUACCUCUAUUUUUCUACAUGUUUAUCCUUCCAAUUUAGUUCAUUAUUUCCUGCACCUUUGAUUUCAUAUAUAUAAACAGGAAAUAACACAUGGUGGCCGUUAUGUAGAGAGAGCCACAGGACUUGUGAAUAAAAUCCACAGGCAAGGACGUGGCGAUUCGUUUUGCAAUAUUGGAGGGAAUGCCAAACCCUAUGUUUGCUGUGGAAAAGAGUAUGGUAGUUCCUCAAAACAUCAAAAUGGUAUUGCCUUACGAUUCAGCAGCCCCACAUCUCAAGACAGCAAAAGAAUUGAAAGCAGAGUCUUGAAAAAAUAUUUGCACAUCCAUGUUUGCAGCAGCAUUAUUGGCAAUAGCUAAAACGUAGAAGCAAUUGAAGUGUCCAACAACAGAUGAAUGGAUAUGCAAAACAUGAUAUAUACAUACAAUGGUAAAUCAUUCAGCCUUAAACAUGAGGGAAAUAUUCAGACAUAUGUUGCAUCUUGGAUGAAACUUGAGGAUAUUAUGCCAAGUGAAAUAAGUUAGUCAGUGAAGGACAAAUACAGUACAAUUCCAUUUGUAUAAGAGACUUAAACUGGACAGAAUCAUAGAGAUAGUACAAUGAUGAAUGCCAGAAGCUGGGGGGAGGAAGACAUGGGAAAGUACUGUUUAAUGGGUAUAGAGUUUCAGUUUCACAAGAUGAAACGAGUUAUGGAGAUGGAUGGUAGGGACGGCUGCACAAUGUUAUGACUAUAUUUAGUACCACUGAACUGUACAUUUAAAAUGGUUAACAGAGUACAUUUUAUGUUAUGUGUAUUUUACCACAAUAAAAAAAUAAAAUACCUUAGGAACAUUUUCCUGAAAGAGUCCACAUAAAAUUCAUUUUAAUGCAUGUGUUUAUGCAUAGCUUUCUAUUUUUCUCUUUUCUAUUUAUAUUCCAAAUUAGAAUAUAAUGCUAAUCAAGCAUAGUGGCUGUGUUUCUUGCUUCCUCUAGUCUGCAGGUAGCAUACAAAUGUAAGAAACUACUAAUUAAUGUCACAUCUAUUUAUUUUCUGCUUUAUACCAAGCUUGUGGGAUUCUCUUAAAUACAACAUUUUUAUACUUACACCUAUGAAAUACCCAUUAACAUCGCCUUCCUAAAUCAGUGGAAAUUGAGUCUCUGUAAGGUGCAGUAACUUACUAAGAUACAAAACUCAGCAUUUAAGUCUGUAUACUUCAAUAUCCUGCCCUCUUCUCAUUUGUCUUUACUGCCUUUUAUGUAUGUGUUAGAUGUUCAAUAAAUUCUCUUUUUUAAACUGAA
ensembl:lncRNA novel transcript